UACGGGGGAUGCAAGCGUUAUCCGGAAUGAUUGGGCGUAAAGAGUCCGUAGGUAGUCAUCCAAGUCUGCUGUUAAAGAGCGAGGCUUAACCUCGUAAAGGCAGUGGAAACUGGAAGACUAGAGUGUAGUAGGGGCAGAGGGAAUUCCUGGUGUAGCGGUGAAAUGCGUAGAGAUCAGGAAGAACACCGGUGGCGAAGGCGCUCUGCUGGGCUAUAACUGACACUGAGGGACGAAAGCUAGGGGAGCGAAUGGG
rnacentral:rRNA from 1 species